GUAAUUCUCACCCUUUUUGAUGGAAUAUGAAUAAUAAAAUAAAAAAAGUGAGGCGCAUUCGGCGUGGAAUUAUACAUUUGGAUAAAUAGCAGAAUGUCCGCGCUAAUGUAGGGUUUGUGAACGAUUUUCUCAUCAGAAAAUAUAACGAGCAAGAUGACAGGUUUCUUUACGAUGGAACGUGCCGACAAACAAGGUUAAGAACACGAGACGAGACAUUUUAGAUGUAAGAUAAUGAGAAAGAAUUGAGAGACGGGAAUGGAAAUGAAACUGUACCAGAACUGAGGCGCGAAGAAACAAUC